rnacentral:lncRNA from 1 species
AAUAACCAAGAAAUUUUCCUGCAGGGAAUGAAUGAAAUGUAAGGUAAGGGUAUUAACGGGAAAUUAUCCAAUGGGUAAUGUAUAGGCUUUUGUAUAUGGUUAUCUUGUUAGGGACCAACUGGAGUAUCUGUGGAGAAAAGGGAUUAGCUGUACAAAGAGGUGUUUUGUAAAGGCAUGAAUGAAGUAUGCAAUAUGCUAUGUAUGCAGUGCAUGAUGGAUCUUUUUUCUGUCUUUCUCUAUCUUUCUCAUUCUUUUCUUUUUUUUUUCUUUUUUUUUCUUUCGCCUCCAUUAACAAGUUUUGCCAUGUACUAGUGAUUG